rnacentral:rRNA from 1 species
GACGAACGCUGGCGGCAGGCCUAACACAUGCAAGUCGAGCGGACCUUUCGGGGUCAGCGGCGGACGGGUGAGUAACGCGUGGGAAUAUGCCCUUCUCUACGGAAUAGUCCUGGGAAACUGGGGGUAAUACCGUAUACGCCCUUUGGGGGAAAGAUUUAUCGGGGAAGGAUUAGCCCGCGUUGGAUUAGGUGGUUGGUGGGGUAAUGGCCUACCAAGCCGACGAUCCAUAGCUGGUUUGAGAGGAUGAUCAGCCACACUGGGACUGAGACACGGCCCAGACUCCUACGGGAGGCAGCAGUGGGGAAUCUUAGACAAUGGGGGCAACCCUGAUCUAGCCAUGCCGCGUGAGUGAUGAAGGCCUUAGGGUUGUAAAGCUCUUUCAGCUGGGAAGAUAAUGACGGUACCAGCAGAAGAAGCCCCGGCUAACUCCGUG